GUUCUACACGCUUCUUAUCAUUCACUCUUUGUUCAGAGCGAGCUUAGGAGAAGGUAUUCACUUUAUCCAGAGAAUAUUUGCAGCGUUCUAAAAUGAAGCAAGCCAUCCUGAUCCUACUUGUCGUUGUGAUAGCAGUUGGCUUCCCAGCUGCAGAUUCGAAGAACUUCAAGUUAGAGAGGCAAAUAAGAAAUACAUUUUGCAAAUCCUCUUCUGCUUGCAAUGGAGGAUAUAAGUGUUGUGACUGGCCUUGGGCCGGUCAGCUAUGCGAACCAAAAAACACAGUUUGCGACGAACUCAAGUAGGGAGAUUAGCUGCAUCUGGAGCCCUGGCAUAUCAUUUUCGAUGCAGCAGACCGUCUGCCCGUUCUAUCGACUGUGAAAUUGAAAGAAAACGUUGUCACUAGGCAA